rnacentral:rRNA from 1 species
UGUCAGCAGCCGCGGUGAUACAUAGGCACCAAGCGUUGUCCGGAUUUAUUGGGCGUAAAGAGCUCGUAGGCGGUUCAGUCAGUCGGGUGUGAAAACUCUGGGCUUAACCCAGAGCCUGCACCCGAUACUGCUGUGACUAGAGUUCGGUAGGGGAGCGGGGAAUUCCUGGUGUAGCGGUGAAAUGCGCAGAUAUCAGGAGGAACACCGAUGGCGAAGGCACCGCUCUGGGCCGAAACUGACGCUGAGGAGCGAAAGCAUGGGUAGCAAACAGGAUUAGAUACCCUGGUAGUCCAUGCCGUAAACGUUGGGCACUAGGUGUGGGUUCCAAUCAACGGAAUCCGCGCCGUCGCUAACGCAUUAAGUGCCCCGCCUGGGGAGUACGGUCGCAAGACUAAAACUUAAAGAAAUUGGCGG